rnacentral:rRNA from 1 species
UGGCAGUCGAACGGAAAGGNCCUUCGGGGUACUCGAGUGGCGAACGGGUGAGUAACACGUGGGUGAUCUGCCCUGCACUUCGGGAUAAGCCUGGGAAACUGGGUCUAAUACCGGAUAUGACUACGGAUCGCAUGGUCUGUGGUGGAAAGCUUUUGCGGUGUGGGAUGGGCCCGCGGCCUAUCAGCUUGUUGGUGGGGUUAAGGCCUACCAAGGCGACGACGGGUAGCCGGCCUGAGAGGGUGACCGGCCACACUGGGACUGAGAUACGGCCCAGACUCCUACGGGAGGCAGCAGUGGGGAAUAUUGCACAAUGGGCGCAAGCCUGAUGCAGCGACGCCGCGUGAGGGACGACGGCCUUCGGGUUGUAAACCUCUUUCAGCACAGACGAAGCGCAAGUGACGGUAUGUGCAGAAGAAGGACCGGCCAACUACGUGCCAGCAGCCGCGGUAAUACGUAGGGUCCGAGCGUUGUCCGGAAUUACUGGGCGUAAAGAGCUCGUAGGUGGUUUGUCGCGUUGUUCGUGAAAACUCACAGCUCAACUGUGGGCGUGCGGGCGAUACGGGCAGACUGGAGUACUGCAGGGGAGACUGGAAUUCCUGGUGUAGCGGUGGAAUGCGCAGAUAUCAGGAGGAACACCGGUGGCGAAGGCGGGUCUCUGGGCAGUAACUGACGCUGAGGAGCGAAAGCGUGGGGAGCGAACAGGAUUAGAUACCCUGGUAGUCCACGCCGUAAACGGUGGGUACUAGGUGUGGGUUUCCUUCCUUGGGAUCCGUGCCGUAGCUAACGCAUUAAGUACCCCGCCUGGGGAGUACGGCCGCAAGGCUAAAACUCAAAGAAAUUGACGGGGGCCCGCACAAGCGGCGGAGCAUGUGGAUUAAUUCGAUGCAACGCGAAGAACCUUACCUGGGUUUGACAUGCACAGGACGUGCCUAGAGAUAGGUAUUCCCUUGUGGCCUGUGUGCAGGGGUGCAUGGCUGUCGUCAGCUCGUGUCGUGAGAUGUUGGGUUAAGUCCCGCA